CAAUAAAUGCCAACCUGCCUCCCAGUCGUCCCCUCCUUAUCUUUACAAGGCUGCAGAACAUGCAAGCUAGUGAUGUGGGGGUUCUCUCAUAACCCUCAGUCCCCAGGUGGGUAGAUGGCAGGUUGAAUAAAGAGAAGCUAGUGAUGUGGGGGUUCUCUCAUAACCCUCAGUCCCCAGGUGGGUAGAUGGCAGGUUGAAUAAAGAGAAGCUAGUGAUGUGGGGGUUCUCUCAUAACCCUCAGUCCCCAGGUGGGUAGAUGGCAGGUUGAAUAAAGAGAAGCUAGUGAUGUGGGGGUUCUCUCAUAACCCUCAGUCCCCAGGUGGGUAGAUGGCAGGUUGAAUAAAGAGAAGCUAGUGAUGUGGGGGUUCUCUCAUAACCCUCAGUCCCCAGGUGGGUAGAUGGCAGGUUGAAUAAAGAGAAGCUAGUGAUGUGGGGGUUCUCUCAUAACCCUCAGUCCCCAGGUGGGUAGAUGGCAGGUUGAAUAAAUAGAAAACAAUAGGCAACAUAAAACAAUCCAUAAAUGUAUAAUUAUUAUGUAAUUUACACAAAACAUUAAGGACACCUUUUCUUUCCAUGACAAACUGACCAGGCGUAACUCAAUAUUAGGAAGGUAUCCUUAAUAUUUUGUCCACUCAGUGGCUCUGACCCUUUACGUA
rnacentral:lncRNA from 1 species